GAAUGAACGCUGGCGGCGUGCUUAACACAUGCAAGUCGAACGAGAAAUCUUUAGCUUGCUAGAGAAAGUAAAGUGGCGCACGGGUGAGUAACGCGUGGGUAAUCUGCCUCCGAAUCGGGGAUAACAUUGCGAAAGCGAUGCUAAUACCGGAUAAAAUCUGGUUGGCUUCGGUGAACCGGAUCAAAGGUGGUCUCUUUAUAAAAGCUACCGUUUGGAGAUGAGCUCGCGUACCAUUAGCUAGUUGGUGAGGUAAAGGCUCACCAAGGCGACGAUGGUUAGCUGGUCUGAGAGGAUGAUCAGCCACACCGGAACUGGAACACGGUCCGGACUCCUACGGGAGGCAGCAGUGAGGAAUUUUGCGCAAUGGGGGAAACCCUGACGCAGCAACGCCGCGUGAGUGAUGAAGGCUUUCGGGUCGUAAAGCUCUGUCAGGUGGGAAGAACCCACCAAGUGUUAAGACCACUUGGUGCUGACGGUACCACCGAAGGAAGCACCGGCUAACUCCGUGCCAGCAGCCGCGGUAAUACGGGGGGUGCGAGCGUUAUUCGGAAUCAUUGGGCGUAAAGGGCGCGCAGGCGGUUCUGUAAGUCAGAUGUGAAACUCCCGGGGCUUAACCCCGGAAGUGCAUAUGAAACUAUGAGACUUGAGUAUGGGAGAGGGAAGCGGAAUUCCUGGUGUAGCGGUGAAAUGCGUAGAUAUCAGGAGGAACACCGGUGGCGAAGGCGGCUUCCUGGACCAAUACUGACGCUGAGGCGCGAAGGCGUGGGGAGCGAACAGGAUUAGAUACCCUGGUAGUCCACGCAGUAAACGUUGAUCACUAGGUGUAGCGGGUAUUGACCCCUGCUGUGCCGGAGUUAACGCAUUAAGUGAUCCCGCCUGGGGAGUACGAUCGGCAGAUUAAAAUUCACAGGAAUUGACGGGGGCCCGCACAAGGCGGUGGAGCAUGUG
rnacentral:rRNA from 1 species